rnacentral:rRNA from 1 species
UUGACCUCGGAUCAGGUAGGGUUACCCGCUGAACUUAAGCUAUCAUAG